rnacentral:rRNA from 1 species
AUGACACGAGCGUGGAGGCACCAUUUUCAUGCAAUUUCUCAGAUUUCAGGGCAUCUCUUUAUGGCUCACUUUACUUCUCUUGAAUCCAUGAUGUUUGUAUACACACGCCAGCCAUGGACUAUGGGCUCUGACAAUAUUCUCUUAGAAUGGAUAGAUCCAAUGGAUGAAUCCAAAACUAAGGAGGAUUACAAGUUUGAGAAUAUAUAUGUGAAUGUUCGUGUUUAUGGAAUCCUUUCUACAAUUGGCAAGCCAUCUGAGUUCCAUCCUUUGCAAGAGAAUAUGCUGUUUGCAAGACCAGAUUAUAUUUGGGGUAAGGCCAAGAUUAAUAUAAAGGAUUCAGUGGUAGAUAAGAUCAACCUGACUUUGGAUGACAAUACUUCUAAGACGGUCUAUCUUCACUAUGAAAAGAUUGGCAGAAUAUGCCUUUUUUGUGGGAUUAUGUUUCAUACAGUGCAGCACUGUCCAAAAAGAAAUGAUAUUAUCAUGGCAAGGGUGAGAAACAAUAGAUCUGCAGAAGAUAUUCCGCUCUACAUGUAUGGGGAAUGGAUU